rnacentral:rRNA from 1 species
CGGAAUGUGCAAACGUUACUCGGAAUCACUGGGCUUAAAGAGUCCGUAGGCGGCAUGUUAGGUGAGGUGUGAAAUCCCCCGGCUCAACCGAGGAAUUGCGCUUCAAACCGGCGUGCUUGAGGAAGAUAGAGGUGGGCGGAACUGAUGGUGGAGCGGUGAAAUGCGUUGAUAUCAUCAGGAACACCGGAGGCGAAGGCGGCCCACUGGGUCUUUUCUGACGCUGAGGGACGAAAGCUAGGGGAGCGAACGGGAUUAGAUACCCCGGUAGUCCUAGCCUUAAACGAUGAGCACUAGACCGAAGGAUCUCCACGAUCUUUUGGUCGUAGCGAAAGUGUUAAGUGCUCCGCCUGGGGAGUAUGGUCGCAAGGCUG